GACGAACGCUGGCGGCGUGCCUAAUACAUGCAAGUAGAGCGCUGAAGGAGGAGCUUGCUUCUCUGGAUGAGUUGCGAACGGGUGAGUAACGCGUAGGUAACCUGCCUGGUAGCGGGGGAUAACUAUUGGAAACGAUAGCUAAUACCGCAUAAUAGUAGAUGUCGCAUGACAUUUGCUUAAAAGGUGCAAUUGCAUCACUACCAGAUGGACCUGCGUUGUAUUAGCUAGUUGGUGAGGUAACGGCUCACCAAGGCAACGAUACAUAGCCGACCUGAGAGGGUGAUCGGCCACACUGGGACUGAGACACGGCCCAGACUCCUACGGGAGGCAGCAGUAGGGAAUCUUCGGCAAUGGACGGAAGUCUGACCGAGCAACGCCGCGUGAGUGAAGAAGGUUUUCGGAUCGUAAAGCUCUGUUGUAAGAGAAGAACGAGUGUGAGAGUGGAAAGUUCACACUGUGACGGUAUCUUACCAGAAAGGGACGGCUAACUACGUG
rnacentral:rRNA from 1 species